GUGCUUCCUUCAGCAGUACAUAUACUAAAAUUGGAACAAUACAGAGAUUAGCGUGGCCCCUACGCAAGGAUGACAUGCAAAUUUGUGAAGCAUUUCAUAUAUAA
rnacentral:snRNA from 1 species